rnacentral:rRNA from 1 species
GGUUAAGCGACUAAGCGUACACGGUGGAUGCCCUGGCAGUCAGAGGCGAUGAAGGACGUGCUAAUCUGCGAUAAGCGUCGGUAAGGUGAUAUGAACCGUUAUAACCGGCGAUUUCCGAAUGGGGAAACCCAGUGUGUUUCGACACACUAUCAUUAACUGAAUCCAUAGGUUAAUGAGGCGAACCGGGGGAACUGAAACAUCUAAGUACCCCGAGGAAAAGAAAUCAACCGAGAUUCCCCCAGUAGCGGCGAGCGAACGGGGAGCAGCCCAGAGCCUGAAUCAGUGUGUGUGUUAGUGGAAGCGUCUGGAAAGGCGCGCGAUACAGGGUGACAGCCCCGUACACAAAAAUGCACAUGCUGUGAGCUCGAUGAGUAGGGCGGGACACGUGGUAUCCUGUCUGAAUAUGGGGGGACCAUCCUCCAAGGCUAAAUACUCCUGACUGACCGAUAGUGAACCAGUACCGUGAGGGAAAGGCGAAAAGAACCCCGGCGAGGGGAGUGAAAAAGAACCUGAAACCGUGUACGUACAAGCAGUGGGAGCACGCUUAGGCGUGUGACUGCGUACCUUUUGUAUAAUGGGUCAGCGACUUAUAUUGUGUAGCAAGGUUAACCGAAUAGGGGAGCCGAAGGGAAACCGAGUCUUAACUGGGCGUUAAGUUGCAGGGUAUAGACCCGAAACCCGGUGAUCUAGCCAUGGGCAGGUUGAAGGUUGGGUAACACUAACUGGAGGACCGAACCGACUAAUGUUGAAAAAUUAGCGGAUGACUUGUGGCUGGGGGUGAAAGGCCAAUCAAACCGGGAGAUAGCUGGUUCUCCCCGAAAGCUAUUUAGGUAGCGCCUCGUGAAUUCAUCUCCGGGGGUAGAGCACUGUUUCGGCAAGGGGGUCAUCCCGACUUACCAACCCGAUGCAAACUGCGAAUACCGGAGAAUGUUAUCACGGGAGACACACGGCGGGUGCUAACGUCCGUCGUGAAGAGGGAAACAACCCAGACCGCCAGCUAAGGUCCCAAAGUCAUGGUUAAGUGGGAAACGAUGUGGGAAGGCCCAGACAGCCAGGAUGUUGGCUUAGAAGCAGCCAUCAUUUAAAGAAAGCGUAAUAGCUCACUGGUCGAGUCGGCCUGCGCGGAAGAUGUAACGGGGCUAAACCAUGCACCGAAGCUGCGGCAGCGACGCUUAUGCGUUGUUGGGUAGGGGAGCGUUCUGUAAGCCUGUGAAGGUGUGCUGUGAGGCAUGCUGGAGGUAUCAGAAGUGCGAAUGCUGACAUAAGUAACGAUAAAGCGGGUGAAAAGCCCGCUCGCCGGAAGACCAAGGGUUCCUGUCCAACGUUAAUCGGGGCAGGGUGAGUCGACCCCUAAGGCGAGGCCGAAAGGCGUAGUCGAUGGGAAACAGGUUAAUAUUCCUGUACUUGGUGUUACUGCGAAGGGGGGACGGAGAAGGCUAUGUUGGCCGGGCGACGGUUGUCCCGGUUUAAGCGUGUAGGCUGGUUUUCCAGGCAAAUCCGGAAAAUCAAGGCUGAGGCGUGAUGACGAGGCACUACGGUGCUGAAGCAACAAAUGCCCUGCUUCCAGGAAAAGCCUCUAAGCAUCAGGUAACAUCAAAUCGUACCCCAAACCGACACAGGUGGUCAGGUAGAGAAUACCAAGGCGCUUGAGAGAACUCGGGUGAAGGAACUAGGCAAAAUGGUGCCGUAACUUCGGGAGAAGGCACGCUGAUAUGUAGGUGAAGUCCCUCGCGGAUGGAGCUGAAAUCAGUCGAAGAUACCAGCUGGCUGCAACUGUUUAUUAAAAACACAGCACUGUGCAAACACGAAAGUGGACGUAUACGGUGUGACGCCUGCCCGGUGUCGGAAGGUUAAUUGAUGGGGUCAGCGCAAGCGAAGCUCUUGAUCGAAGCCCCGGUAAACGGCGGCCGUAACUAUAACGGUCCUAAGGUAGCGAAAUUCCUUGUCGGGUAAGUUCCGACCUGCACGAAUGGCGUAAUGAUGGCCAGGCUGUCUCCACCCGAGACUCAGUGAAAUUGAACUCGCUGUGAAGAUGCAGUGUACCCGCGGCAAGACGGAAAGACCCCGUGAACCUUUACUAUAGCUUGACACUGAACAUUGAGCCUUGAUGUGUAGGAUAGGUGGGAGGCUUUGAAGUGUGGACGCCAGUCUGCAUGGAGCCGACCUUGAAAUACCACCCUUUAAUGUUUGAUGUUCUAACGUUGACCCGUAAUCCGGGUUGCGGACAGUGUCUGGUGGGUAGUUUGACUGGGGCGGUCUCCUCCUAAAGAGUAACGGAGGAGCACGAAGGUUGGCUAAUCCUGGUCGGACAUCAGGAGGUUAGUGCAAUGGCAUAAGCCAGCUUGACUGCGAGCGUGACGGCGCGAGCAGGUGCGAAAGCAGGUCAUAGUGAUCCGGUGGUUCUGAAUGGAAGGGCCAUCGCUCAACGGAUAAAAGGUACUCCGGGGAUAACAGGCUGAUACCGCCCAAGAGUUCAUAUCGACGGCGGUGUUUGGCACCUCGAUGUCGGCUCAUCACAUCCUGGGGCUGAAGUAGGUCCCAAGGGUAUGGCUGUUCGCCAUUUAAAGUGGUACGCGAGCUGGGUUUAGAACGUCGUGAGACAGUUCGGUCCCUAUCUGCCGUGGGCGCUGGAGAACUGAGGGGGGCUGCUCCUAGUACGAGAGGACCGGAGUGGACGCAUCACUGGUGUUCGGGUUGUCAUGCCAAUGGCACUGCCCGGUAGCUAAAUGCGGAAGAGAUAAGUGCUGAAAGCAUCUAAGCACGAAACUUGCCCCGAGAUGAGUUCUCCCUGACUCCUUGAGAGUCCUGAAGGAACGUUGAAGACGACGACGUUGAUAGGCCGGGUGUGUAAGCGCAGCGAUGCGUUGAGCUAACCGGUACUAAUGAACCGUGAGGCUUAACCUU